AAGUCGGCAAAACGGAUCCGUAACCUUGGGAUAAGGAUUGGCUCUGAGGACUGAGCCGGUCGGGCUGGGGACCUGAAGCAGGAACGGCACUGCACCGGGACUGGGCGGGGCUCGCCGUUCACGCGGCGCGGCCAAGCCCGGACCAGCGUCGGGACCUUCCUGUGGAAAGCCUCAGCUGCGCGGCGUCUGAGGGCUUCGUGCCCAAAGUGCUAUGCUUCGGCCGGCAAAAAAACAGUCAACUCAGAACUGGCACGGACCGGGGGAAUCCGACUGUCUAAUUAAAACAAAGCAUUGCGAUGGCCGCUGGUCGGUGUUGACGCAAUGUGAUUUCUGCCCAGUGCUCUGAAUGUCAACGUGAAGAGAUUCAUCAAAGCGCAGGUAAACGGCGGGAGUAACUAUGACUCUCUUGGAGGGCCUUCACUUCUUCUCGAGGCCUCUCGCAGCACCAGAGGAACGCCCACAA
rnacentral:rRNA from 1 species